rnacentral:rRNA from 1 species
UACGUAGGGCGCAAGCGUUGUCCGGAAUUAUUGGGCGUAAAGAGCUCGUAGGCGGUUUGUCGCGUCUGUCGUGAAAGCUUGGGGCUUAACCCCAAGUCUGCGGUGGAUACGGGCAGACUAGAGGCAGGUAGGGGAGAACGGAAUUCCCGGUGUAGCGGUGAAAUGCGCAGAUAUCAGGAGGAACACCGGUGGCGAAGGCGGGUCUCUGGGCAGUAACUGACGCUGAGGAGCGAAAGCGUGGGGAGCGAACAGG